AGAGAAGGCAAAAGAAUGUUUUGAAGAGGGGGAUUGCCAUCACCAAUAAGACUGAGAUUGGAUUGCUAUAUCUAACAAAAGAUGCAGAUAUUUUAUAUACAGUAGAAGGAGAAGAUAUAGGUGGUCAUCUAGUGAUUUUCUUGAACCUGAUUGGGACUUAAAAACGGGGCCUAUAUAUGAGGAUUUGCAAAUUGACCAAGAGCAGCCGGCAAACAUUAAACAUGCAGUGACCUUACAAGUAACGAAGAAGUGGAGAAAAUUUUUCAUUGGACAGAUGGGUGUGAAGAAAGCCCUGGGAUAUUAAUUGAAUUGCGAGAAAUGAAUCAGGAAUGCAGGUAGAAAGUGGCAAAGACCAAUACCAUAAGAUGUUCCUAUCAAAGAUUUAAAAUUGUAGCUGUUAUUAAUACAAAUAUUGUAAAGUAUGUGUAAUGUACUAUUAUCACUAAUCAAGAUUGAUAUAGAGUCUAAAUAUUCUUAGUAAAUGUUCUAUAUUACUGUGUUCCAAUACCUAAUUGUGUUGUACUUUUUACUACCACUUGAAUAGAUUUCUUUUUUAUUUAUUA